GAUUAAGAAUAACCAAAAAGCUGAAAAAUGCAUAUUUUAUUUUUCCCUCGAUACUUAACAAGUUACAAGGGUCAAAUAAUUUUAGGUGCUAAAAUGACCUAUUUGAAAAAACGAUUCAUUAAAGAAUUAAAAAAAAAUCUAAAUCCCCAUUUUUUUCUCUCUCCACAAUACUACCCAAAACCCCAUUUUCCAUCUCCACUGUUCGCAACGAACGACGACGGCUGAUGGUGACCUUCGGCGGCGACCGACGUCUGACGGUGACCCACGACGCGAUGCUACACUAGAACGGCUACGAGUGAAAGACUCCACGCGAAUGGCUCCACCCGAACGUCUGACGGUGACCCACUCUGACGAUGCUCGUGAACAGUGGCCAUGACUUAGCUGUUUUUGAUUUCGAGACAUUGCGCACGGCUGACCCUUUUAUUGCUGGUGGAGGAUGGAGGUGAAAGUCCGAGGUACACCAUUGACGAAGCUCUUGUAUCCAUGGGUUUUGGGAAAUUUCAAAUUCUUGUGCUUGCUUAUGCUGGAAUGGGAUGGGUAUGAGGAGCUAUGGAAUGUUGCAUAUUACAUAGUAGAACCAUAAGAGCUGACGUUAUUUGGCCACAGGCCACAGUAAUCUUAUCAUCCAUCACGGCCCAAUUUUAAACUUGACACAUAUUUUGCUUGUCACACUUGUAGAAUGAGCCAACGGGGAGUAUGUGUGUACCUUAAGGAGGGAUAGGUCAAUAACAGAGAAAAUUGUUUGAUGUGUGAUUUUUUCCCAAGUGGUUAUAGAUCCUAAAAGUAAUUAGUAGAGUAAUGAAACUUAGCUACAUAGCCUCAUAA